rnacentral:rRNA from 1 species
CGCAAGCCUGACGGAGCAAUACCGCGUGAGGGAGGAAGGCCUUUGGGUUGUAAACCUCUUUUCUUAAGGAAGAAGAUCUGACGGUACUUAAGGAAUCAGCAUCGGCUAACUCCGUGCCAGCAGCCGCGGUAAUACGGAGGAUGCAAGCGUUAUCCGGAAUUAUUGGGCGUAAAGCGUCCGCAGGCGGCAUUAUAAGUCUGCUGUCAAAGACCGCAGCUCAACUGCGGAAAGGCAGUGGAAACUGUAAAGCUAGAGUACGGUAGGGGUAGAGGGAAUUCCCAGUGUAGCGGUGAAAUGCGUAGAUAUUGGGAAGAACACCAGUGGCGAAAGCGCUCUACUGGGCCGUAACCGACGCUCAGGGACGAAAGCUAGGGGAGCG